GUACACACCGCCCGUCACACCAUGGGAGUGGGUUUCACCAGAAGUAGGUAGCCUAACCGCAAGGGGGCAGGCGUCCACGGUAUGGUUCAUGAUUGGGGUGAAGUCGUAACAAGGUUUCCGUAGGUGAACCUGCAGAAGGAUCA
rnacentral:rRNA from 1 species